rnacentral:pre_miRNA from 1 species
UUUUUAAUAUAAGUAUAUCUCAUGCAAUAUUUGGGACGUAUUUACAUUAAAA